rnacentral:rRNA from 1 species
UACGGAGGGUGCGAGCGUUGUCCGGAAUCAUUGGGCGUAAAGGGCGCGUAGGUGGCCCGGUCAGCGUGCGGUGAAAGCUCGGGGCUCAACCCCGAGUCGGCCGUGCGAACUGCUGGGCUUGAGCACUGUAGAGGCAGGCGGAAUUCCGGGUGUAGCGGUGGAAUGCGUAGAGAUCCGGAAGAACACCGGUGGCGAAGGCGGCCUGCUGGGCAGUGGCUGACACUGAGGCGCGAAAGCGUGGGGAGCGAUCCGG